AUGGCCUGGGCGCUGCUCCUCCUCCUCCUCCUCCUUCACUGCACAGCCAGACUCACCUGCACCCUGAGCAGUGGCUAUAGUGUUGGCGGCUAUGAUAUAUACUGGUACCAGCAGAAACUAGGGACCUUUCCUAGGUAUCUACUGAGAUUCUACUCAGACUCAGAUAAGCACCAGGGCCCUGGGGUCCCCAGCCGCUUCUUUGGGUCCAAAGAUGCCUCGGCCAAUGCAGGGCUUCUGCUCAUCUCUGGGCCACAGCCUGAGGACAAGGCUGACUCUUCCUGUGCUACAGCUCAUGGCAGUGGGAGCAGCUUUGGCUACUCACAGUGA